AUACCAUGAACUCUUCAGCAGAGAGCUGCUCAUAGAAUCAAGUGGGGUUAGGAAUUUCUGGAUAACAUGAUAACUCCUGAGAUUAGUGGCACAGUGAGAUGGGUUUAGCCUUGUCUCACUCCCCAGUCCCAUCCUCUAACCCCACACUACCCCAGCCAUCCCAUCAUCCCGUGCUUCUCUUCCUACCUAAUUGGGUACAGAAUGAGAAAAACAACACCACCAAAAAAUAGAAACUCUUUAAUAAUUUCAGCAUGAUUAGAAAGAAUGUAGUCUCCCCGAGUAGGACUACUGUGAAGGAGAGAACAUUCAUUUGAAAAUGGUACUUGGAAGUAGGAUAAAGAUCACUUUCAGAGAGGAGUACACCAAAAAAAUUCCCACCCAAGGUGUCAAU
rnacentral:lncRNA from 1 species